AUGCUGGGUUAUUUUUUUGACCCAAUCGCUGGGUUGAGCCUGUUGGGUCAUUUAAUUGGGUUAUUUUUAUUGAGUUGGGUAUUCUGAGAACCCAAUUCGCUGGGUUAUCUCUGUUGGGUGCUGAGUUAUUUGCUGCUGGGUUGUGAUUUCCAUUAUAUUGUGCUGGGUUAUUUUGGACAACCCAAAGCGUUGGGUAGAAUUUUGAACACGCGCAACAAAGCCCCGCCCACAAACUUACUUCGUUCGGACCCCACAUUUCAUCUGAGGAGACCAAUUUCAGCACGGAGCAAGUUCGCUGAAAAGCAUCUAUGGAUGAGUUUGUCAGUUCCAACUUGACUGAGUGGCAGCUACCGGGGCUGAUUGAAAGAUGCCAGGGGAGAAGUCGCCCUGACGCUUCUGCCCAUCCUGCUCCCUCCGCCUGUGUUUAAAAAGGG